rnacentral:rRNA from 1 species
AUUGAACGCUGGCGGCAGGCCUAACACAUGCAAGUCGAGCGGAUGAAGGGAGCUUGCUCCUGGAUUCAGCGGCGGACGGGUGAGUAAUGCCUAGGAAUCUGCCUGGUAGUGGGGGAUAACGUCCGGAAACGGGCGCUAAUACCGCAUACGUCCUGAGGGAGAAAGUGGGGGAUCUUCGGACCUCACGCUAUCAGAUGAGCCUAGGUCGGAUUAGCUAGUUGGUGGGGUAAAGGCCUACCAAGGCGACGAUCCGUAACUGGUCUGAGAGGAUGAUCAGUCACACUGGAACGGAGAGACGGGCCAGACUCCGACGGGAGGCAGCAGUGGGGAAUAUUGGACAAUGGGGGAAAGCCUGAACCAGCAAUGCCGCGUGUGUGAAGAAGGUCUUCGGAUUGGACAGCACUUUGAGGAGGGAGGAAGAGCAGUAAGUGAAUACCUUGCUGUGGUGACGUUACAAACAGAAUAAGCACCGGCUAACUUCGUG